GCACAACGCGAAGAACCUUACCUGGUCUUGACAUAGUAAGAACUUUCCAGAGAUGGAUUGGUGCCUUCGGGAACUUACAUACAGGUGCUGCAUGGCUGUCGUCAGCUCGCGUCGUGAGAUGUUGGGUUAAGUCCCGUAACGAGCGCAACCCGUGUCCUUAGUUACCAGCACGUUAUGGUGGGCACUCUAAGGAGACUGCCGGUGACAAACCGGAAGAAGGUGGGGAUGACGGUCAAGUCAUCAUGGCCCUUACGGCCUGGGCUACACACGUGCUACAAUGGUCGGUACAGAGGGUUGCCAAGCCGCGAGGUGGAGCUAAUCUCACAAAACCGAUCGUAGUCCGGAUCGCAGUCUGCAACUCGACUGCGUGAAGUCGGAAUCGCUAGUAAUCGUGGAUCAGAAUGUCACGGUGAAUACGUUCCCGGGUCUUGUACACACCGAGUCGU
rnacentral:rRNA from 1 species